CGCGUAGGCGGCCGAGCGGGUCGCGGGUGAAAUCCUCCAGCUUAACUGGAGAACUGCCCUCGAUACCACUGCGGCUCGAGGAAGGAAGGGGCAAUCGGAACUGUCGGUGGAGCGGUGAAAUGCGUUGAUAUCGACAGGAACGCCGGUGGCGAAAGCGGAUUGCUGGUCCUUUUCUGACGCUGAGGCGCGAAAGCCAGGGGAGCAAACGGGAUUAGAUACCCCGGUAGUCCUGGCCUUAAACGAUGAGAACUAGGUAGUGGGUCCGACCUGGGCACACUGCCGAAGCGAAAGUUUUAAGUUCUCCGCCUGGGGAGUAUGGUCGCAAGGCUGAA
rnacentral:rRNA from 1 species